rnacentral:rRNA from 1 species
GAUGAACGCUGGCGGCGGGCCUAAUACAUGCAAGUCGAGCGCUCAUAUGAGUAGCUUGCUCCUCUGCCGUUGGCGGCGGACGGGGGAGUAACAAGUGGAUCACCUCCCUAUAAGACGGGGAUCACUGCGGAAAACCGGAGCUACUACCGGAGAAUAUAUUGAACCACAUUUUUCCAUAGAAAAAGGCGGUUUUGCUGUCGCUGAUCGAUGGUUCCGCGCCGCAUUAGCUAGUUGGUCAGGUCACGGCUUACCAAGGCAACGAUGCGUAGCCGAGCUGAGAGGGGGAUCGGCCACCCUAGAAGGGAGACACGGUCCAGACCCGUACGGUAGGGAGCAGUAGGGUAACUUACGCAAGAGGCGGAAGCCUGACCGAGCCCCGCCGCGUGAGGUACGAAGAGCUGCGGAUCGUAAAUCUCUGUUAUUAUGGAAGAACAAAUGUGUAAGUAACGAUGCGCUUCUUGACGGUACUUAAUGAGAAAGCCACGGCUAACUACGUG